CUGUGUUUCCAAUUUUAGAACCAAGCAAAUGGGCCAAGUGACUAAUGCUGUGUAUCUGGUUACAGCGUUGUAUACUGGGAACAUAAGCAGGCUUUCCAGUCAUCUGGAGGUUCACAGCUGUGCCUAGAUUCUAGGCAGUCUUGCACCAGUAUAGAAGGAGAUUAAAAGCUCUGCUACAAGGGACUGUUAAUGGAGAUUCUCCGAAUGCUUGUAAGAACUGUUCACUUACUGGGUCACCAGUGAAGACCAGUUUUCUCCAGUACUUUAUUCCUGAUGAUGAGAGAACUUGCUCUGCUUUGUUGUACAGCGUAUCUCGAAGACGUUUCAAUUCCAAUUUUAAGAGAUUAUCUUCAAUCAUCAAAUCCUAUCAAAUGCCAAAAAAAAAAAAGAGAGAGAAAUAAUACAAAAUUAAAAGGUAGGUAUGUUUUCAACUUGAUUUAUUUUUAAACCGACACAUUUUUAGAAAUUCCAGUUUCCUGUAAAGCACUCUUUAAACUGUAUUUCUAUACCACAAAAACCAGCACUGAGCCUUAGGUUAUUGUCUUACGUUGUAGUCUCAGCAGAGCCUCGACCACCCAGAGUUCUCUUGGGGACAGGGAAAAGGUGAGGGAAGCACUAGUUGCAGAGCUCCUGCUGCACCUUUUCAAGUGCUUCAGGGGCUUUUGCACCUCUUCCUUGUGUCUCACAGCAAAAGGAAGAAUAGGACUUUUACAAAAAUCUGUUCUAAUUAAGAAGUCAAAAUAAAACAAAAGGAUAGCUGUGAUUUAUACAGAACCUACAUUACCAAACUCAUACUCCCAAGGUUGUGCUGAUGAGCCUUGCUGGGAGGAAGAAAAAGCAAAACACAAAAAAAAUCUUAGUUUCAGACUUUAGACCAUAAGAAAAACAAAAGAUUUUUGCAGAAAGGAUGAAAGUGGAAGGGAAACCAGUUAUUAUAUGUCGUUAGUGCAUCCUAUUUGUUAUAUGAUAUUUAAAUUAGUGAGCCAGAACAUCCCAUCAGUCUCAAAGUUGGAGGGUGAACAUCUGGGUUGGGGCAUGCUAGCCAAAGAGUAUUAGAUCCUUCUUUUCCCUGUCCAUGUAAGCCCUCUGUAAGGUCAUCUUGGAGCUGUGGCUCCACAAGGCUUUGGAGACUGGGUAGAAGGAACAAUUGGGGUUCAUCUGCUCUCCACAACAUUAUCCCUUGCCAGCUCCAUGGAUAUUCUAUCCAUAUUCUAUUGUAUUACUGAUGUUUCUUUGAGAAAACUUUAAUCCGAAAGUAGCAUUAAUUUCAAAUUAAUGAUUUCUCAAAGAAACAUCAGUAAUACGCCUCUGGCAACAAAGCACCCUCCAAAUGGAUAUUGAUUCAUAAAUGCAAGGGACUUAGUCAGUAAUAACUGAAUUCCCAAUGGAGCCCUACAACUUGAGGUGGUAAGAGGCUACAGUUCCUCUGCACCAGGGGUUCCCAAACUUGGUUCACGGCUUGUUCAUGGUAAGCCACUGGCGGGCCAUAAGACACUUUGUUUACCACUCGCAGCUCCCUGUGGCUGUGGUUCGCCGUUCCCAGCCAAUGGGAGCUGCGGGAAGUGGUGGCCCCUGCUCUACACCCUCCCCAGACACUACCAGCUAAUGGGACAAUAGCCAUGAAACUGUCCUUCAUUUGAAGAUCUGGGUAUUACAGGGAGGCUGAAAGACCAAGAAACUCCAGAGGGUUUCCCUCUGGGAGGAGAUGACCCUGCACAAAAGAAAGUAGAAAAGAACCCCCAAUCUAUUAAUUAAGAGUGUUUAGAUGGUUUAUUCUUAAAAAACAGAACAAAAUAAAAAACCUCAUACUUUCCAUUAGUAAAAAGCCACAAAUUAUCAUCAUACCUGCUU